rnacentral:rRNA from 1 species
UACGGAGGGUGCAAGCGUUAUCCGGAUUCACUGGGUUUAAAGGGUGCGUAGGAGGGCAGGUAAGUCAGUGGUGAAAUCUCCAAGCUUAACUUGGAAACUGCCGUUGAUACUAUCUGUCUUGAAUACCGUGGAGGUGAGCGAAAUAUGUCAUGUAGCGGUGAAAUGCUUAGAUAUGACACAGAACACCGAUUGCGAAGGCAGCUCACAAAACUGUAACUAACGCUGAGGCACGAAAGCGUGGGUAUCAAACAGG